UCUCAAACGGUUCGUUACGAUGUGUAGGUCAUUUGUUGAGAGAUAUUUCACAUUUUGUAUUUAUAUAGGGCAGGGAAUAUAUUAAAAUGUUAUGUAAUACGUUUGUUGUCGAAUUAACCGUAAUCUUAGGGUGGGUAUCUAUAAAUCGCUUCGAAUGAAGCUGCUCACAUAAUUGUCAUCGAACUUCACUUGGUAAGUUCGUUUGAUUUUCAAUUAUGUUUCGCAGCUUCAUUCUUUGCGAUUUAUAUUGACGUGGUGUAGAUGUUUAGAGUAAAUAAAAUGUGAAAUGGUGAUAAAAAUUGAAAAACUUAUGGUUACAAUCAUUAUUAGAUAACAAUGUUUUAGCAAAGCUGGUAGGAUCAGUAAUUACAUGUCUAUUGUAAAACUUAGCAAAUACUGCAGAAGAAUCAGACCAUCCCGCAGUUUUGCGUAUAACAUCAAUGUUGACCCCAAGUCUAUUGGCAGUGGAUGUGGACGCAUGGCGAGUACUAUGAGCACUAAAUAUAGAAGUAUCUACUCCGCUGUUAUGAAGCGUGUCCUUUAUCCAUUUACUGAGCGUCUGGGAGGUAACUUUUGAGUAUGGUUUUUUAAAACUAAUAAAUAAAUGAUCAUUAUGUCGAA